rnacentral:rRNA from 1 species
GUGUCAGCAGCCGCGGUAAUACAGAGGGUGCGAGCGUUGUCCGGAAUCACUGGGCGUAAAGGGCGCGUAGGCGGCUUGACAAGCGUGCGGUGAAAGCUCGGGGCUCAACCCCGAGUCGGCCGUGCGAACUGUCAGGCUUGAGCACAGUAGAGGCAGAUGGAAUUCCGGGUGUAGCGGUGGAAUGCGUAGAGAUCCGGAAGAACACCGGUGGCGAAGGCGGUCUGCUGGGCUGUGGCUGACGCUGAUGCGCGACAGCGUGGGGAGCAAACAGGAUUAGAUACCCCCGUAGUCC